UCCCAAAAAGUGCGUCGUAGUCCGGAUUGGAGUCUGCAACUCGACUCCAUGAAGUCGGAAUCGCUAGUAAUCGUGAAUCAGAAUGUCACGGUGAAUACGUUCCCGGGCCUUGUACACACCGCCCGUCACACCAUGGGAGUGGGCUGCAAAAGAAGUGGGUAGUUUAACCUUUCGGGGAGGACGCUCACCACUUUGUGGUUCAUGACUGGGGUGAAGUCGUAACAAGGUAGCCCUAGGGGAACCUGGGGCUGGAUCACCUCCUUAUACGAAGAUA
rnacentral:rRNA from 1 species